UGCGAUGAUGAUAACUCCCUGACCUGAAAGGUGAUGAGGACCGGUUCACUGAGCU
rnacentral:snoRNA from 1 species